GCCCCAGGUCCGCAGGUCGUCCAGUCGUGAACCGCGUCAGGCCCGGCAGGGAGCAGCGCUAAGCGAUGUUGGGCGUAGUUGCGGGAUGCCUGGGGCAUU
rnacentral:SRP_RNA from 1 species